UUGCAAAGUCGAGCGGACAGAUGGGAGCUUGCUCCCUGAUGUUAGCGGCGGACGGGUGAGUAACACGUGGGUAACCUGCCUGUAAGACUGGGAUAACUCCGGGAAACCGGGGCUAAUACCGGAUGCUUGUUUGAACCGCAUGGUUCAAACAUAAAAGGUGGCUUCGGCUACCACUUACAGAUGGACCCGCGGCGCAUUAGCUAGUUGGUGAGGUAAUGGCUCACCAAGGCAACGAUGCGUAGCCGACCUGAGAGGGUGAUCGGCCACACUGGGACUGAGACACGGCCCAGACUCCUACGGGAGGCAGCAGUAGGGAAUCUUCCGCAAUGGACGAAAGUCUGACGGAGCAACGCCGCGUGAGUGAUGAAGGUUUUCGGAUCGUAAAGCUCUGUUGUUAGGGAAGAACAAGUACCGUUCGAAUAGGGCGGUACCUUGACGGUACCUAACCAGAAAGCCACGGCUAACUACGUGCCAGCAGCCGCGGUAAUACGUAGGUGGCAAGCGUUGUCCGGAAUUAUUGGGCGUAAAGGGCUCGCAGGCGGUUUCUUAAGUCUGAUGUGAAAGCCCCCGGCUCAACCGGGGAGGGUCAUUGGAAACUGGGGAACUUGAGUGCAGAAGAGGAGAGUGGAAUUCCACGUGUAGCGGUGAAAUGCGUAGAGAUGUGGAGGAACACCAGUGGCGAAGGCGACUCUCUGGUCUGUAACUGACGCUGAGGAGCGAAAGCGUGGGGAGCGAACAGGAUUAGAUACCCUGGUAGUCCACGCCGUAAACGAUGAGUGCUAAGUGUUAGGGGGUUUCCGCCCCUUAGUGCUGCAGCUAACGCAUUAAGCACUCCGCCC
rnacentral:rRNA from 1 species